GAUGAACGCUGGCGGCGUGCCUAAUACAUGCAAGUCGAGCGAACAGACGAGGAGCUUGCUCCUCUGACGUUAGCGGCGGACGGGUGAGUAACACGUGGAUAACCUACCUAUAAGACUGGGAUAACUUCGGGAAACCGGAGCUAAUACCGGAUAAUAUAUUGAACCGCAUGGUUCAAUAGUGAAAGACGGUUUUGCUGUCACUUAUAGAUGGAUCCGCGCCGCAUUAGCUAGUUGGUAAGGUAACGGCUUACCAAGGCAACGAUGCGUAGCCGACCUGGGAGGGUGAUCGGCCACACUGGAACUGAGACACGGUCCAGACUCCUACGGGAGGCAGCAGGAGGGAAUCUUCCGCAAUGGGCGAAAGCCUGACGGAGCAACGCCGCGUGAUUGAUGAAGGUCUUCGGAUCGUAAAACUCUGUUAUGUGGGAAGAACAAAUGUUUAAGUAACUAUGCACGUCUUGACGGUACCUAAUCAGAAAGCCACGGCUAACUACGUG
rnacentral:rRNA from 1 species